UGCCAGCAGCCGCGGUAAUACGGAGGGUGCGAGCGUUAAUCGGAAUUACUGGGCGUAAAGCGCGCGUAGGCGGUUUGUUAAGUCGGCUGUGAAAGCCCCGGGCUCAACCUGGGAAUUGCAGUCGAUACUGACCGACUAGAGUACGAGAGAGGGUAGUGGAAUUUCCAUGUGUAGCGGUGAAAUGCGUAGAUAUGUGGAGGAAUACCAGUGGCGAAGGCGGCCUCCUGGCUCGACACUGACACUGAGGUGCGAAAGCGUGGGGAGCAAACAGGAUUAGAUA
rnacentral:rRNA from 1 species